GUCUGUCUGUUCAAACGUGACUUUUAGUUUUUCCCAUUGUCCUUACACCCCGUGAACGCAGCAUUGGCUGUUUUAGGGGCGGAGCUUGAGCGCGAGCUGGACACAACACACCUGGUCACAACUGCAGCAGAGUGAUGUCAUCAGUGAAGGUGGACUGUGUGGUGAAGGCGGGCGCUCUGAUUGGUGAAGGGCCGGUGUGGGAGGAGUCAGAGCAGACGCUGCUAUUUGUCGACAUUGCCGGGCGCAAAAUCCACCGCUGGAGUCCAACAACCAAUCAGAUGCAUUCUGUUGAGACAGAGGACUCUGUGGGCUUUGUGGUCCCCCGUGUUUCU